rnacentral:tRNA from 1 species
GCCCUAGUAGUAUAACUUAUUACUUUGGUCUUGUAAACCAAUAAUGAAGCCCUAAUGCUUCCUAGGACA